CAGCAAAGAAACCUUGCAAAUAACCAAUUCAUCACCAUGACAGCCGCGCCUGGGUAACAAAAUGGACGAAUUCACCCACUUCCCACUGUGAGCAGCGUGGCUUGCACGGAAGAGACGAUGUGGAAUAACGUGGACAGAGGCAAGGCAGAGUUGUUAGACAGGUCUAGAAGUCCAGCACACCGCUCCUGGCUCUGUGACCUAACUGUUUAAGCCCCAGGCUCCUCGUCUGCAGAAGAGGAUGAGAUGGCGCCGCUCAGAAGCAAUCGGUUGGAUUGACCACCUCUAAAUGAAGGCAAGAUACAGCUUUCAGGAAGGUGUUAGCUCAUCAUCACUGUGACAAAAUGCCAGAGACGAUCAGCUUAUAAGGAGGGAAGGUUUAAUUUGGCUCCGUCAACUCUAACGAAUUUAAAGGAACAGGCAGGCGUCACCCGUUGAAUUCCUGCACACAGAGCAGGGCAGCCAGAACCUACAAGCAAAGAAAGCAUAUACACAUCUCCGGCAUUGCGGCCCAAACGGUUUUCAGCCCAGACACUGGUGCAUUUCUGCCUCGAAUUUCUGUCCUGUGACUCACAGGGAAGGCCUGAAGACAAUAAAAUAUCCCAAGGACCGAAAAUAGGCCCUCCUCCUCCCCUCCACCAUCGGGGAAGUCUUGAAGUCCAAGCAGGAUCCUGGGGACCAGAAAGCCAAUGGGGAAACAAGAUGUCAAGAUGUUGCUGUGUGAUCUGAUUUCUGUCACCCAGAUGGGACAUAGAUGGCAAGGAAAUGAUUCUAGAAUGCAUGCAUUAUGGAUGUGGGGGAGGGGAGGCAGGGAAGCAGGAAGUAUAAGCAUGAUGCUUAUGCUGGAAGUAUGGUGGCUAGAAGUGACCCACUGAGCUAUGAGAACAUGUAGAGGAAAUAAAACAUCAACGAAGGGAAGAGGCUUCACACCGAAUUACUCCUAGAAAGAUCGAUGUUUGGAAACAGAAGACAGUCCCUGCUAGGG